AUCGCUUCUCGGCCUUUUGGCUAAGAUCAAGUGUAGAAAAUACCAAAGUGCUUUAUAGGUACCGAGGGCGGGUAGUUUCAUGAAAUGUUUCAAUUUUUGGUGUCAGUCUGUGUGUGCGCACACGCAUACUGGCUCAGGAUAU
rnacentral:snRNA from 1 species